rnacentral:rRNA from 1 species
GACGAACGCUGGCGGCGUGCUUAACACAUGCAAGUCGAACGGAAAGGCCCUGCUUUUGUGGGUUGCUCGAGUGGCGAACGGGUGAGUAACACGUGAGGAACCUGCCCUUGACUUUGGGAUAACUUCAGGAAACUGGGGCUAAUACCGGAUAGGAGCUUCUGCUGCAUGUUGGGGGUUGGAAAGUUUCGGCGGUUGUGGAUGGACUCGCGGCUUAUCAGCUUGUUGGGGGGGUAGUGGCUUACCAAGGCUUUGACGGGUAGCCUGCCUGAGAGCGUGACCGGGCACCAUGGGCCUGCGGUACGGACCAGAAUCCUACGGGCGGCAGCAGUGGGAAAUAUUGCGCAAUGGGCCGACGCCUGAUGCAGAAGCGCCGCGUGCGGGAUGCCGGCCUUUGGGUUGUAAACCGCUUUCGCAUGUGCCGAAGCCUGCGUGACGGUAAUGGGUAAAGAAGCAACGGCUAACUACGUG